rnacentral:rRNA from 1 species
UACGGAGGAUGCAAGCGUUAUCCGGAUUUAUUGGGUUUAAAGGGUGCGUAGGCGGAUAUGUAAGUCAGCGGUGAAACUCACGGGCUCAACCUGUGCCGUGCCGUUGAAACUGUGUAUCUGGAAUGCGGAUGCUGUGGGAGGAAUGUGUAGUGUAGCGGUGAAAUGCAUAGAUAUUACACAGAACACCGAUUGCGAAGGCAUCUCACAAAGCCGUUAUUGACGCUGAGGCACGAAAGUGUGGGGAUCAAACA